rnacentral:piRNA from 1 species
UAGAGGCUGAUGAAACUCAGCUCCGAGA